UGCCUAACACAUGCAAGUCGAGCGAAGUAUGUUUUUCGGAAUGUACUUAGUGGCGGACGGGUGAGUAACGCGUGAAUAAUCUGCCCCAUACAGGGGGAUAGCCUCGGGAAACCGGGAUUAAAACCGCAUGAUGCUUUUUUAUCGCAUGGUAGAGAAGUCAAAUCGAAUAAGAGGUAUGGGAUGAGCUCGCGUCUGAUUAGCUAGUUGGCGGGGUAAGAGCCCACCAAGGCGACGAUCAGUAGCCGGCCUGAGAGGGUGACCGGCCACACUGGAACUGAGACACGGUCCAGACUCCUACGGGAGGCAGCAGUGGGGAAUAUUGCACAAUGGAGGGAACUCUGAUGCACCGACCCCGCGUGAGUGAAGAAGUCUUCGGAUCGUAAACUCUGUCCUUGGUGACCAANAAAUGACGGUUAGCCAAGGAGAAGCCCCGUGCUACUAC
rnacentral:rRNA from 1 species